UAAAAGGGCUUUUGCUGAAGUGGCACUAGGUGCAUUUGUAUGCGCUUAGCGGAAUCGCUAUCAAGAGAUUUCGGAAGCAUAAUUUUUAAAACCUUGGGGAGUUGGUUGUCAUUUGCACCGACACCCAC
rnacentral:snRNA from 1 species